rnacentral:rRNA from 1 species
GACGAACGCUGGCGGCGUGCUUAACACAUGCAAGUCGAACGGAAAGGCCCUGCUUUUGUGGGGUGCUCGAGUGGCGAACGGGUGAGUAACACGUGAGUAACCUGCCCUUGACUUUGGGAUAACUUCAGGAAACUGGGGCUAAUACCGGAUAGGAGCUCCUGCUGCAUGGUGGGGGUUGGAAAGUUUCGGCGGUUGGGGAUGGACUCGCGGCUUAUCAGCUUGUUGGUGGGGUAGUGGCUUACCAAGGCUUUGACGGGUAGCCGGCCUGAGAGGGUGACCGGCCACAUUGAGACUGAGAUACGGCCCAGACUCCAACGGGAGGCAGCAGUGGGGAAUAUUGCACAAUGGGCGGAAGCCUGAUGCGGCAACGCCGCGUGCGGGAUGACGGCCUUCGGGUUGUAAACCGCUUUCGCCUGUGACGAAGCGUGAGUGACGGUAAUGGGUAAAGAAGCACCGGCUAACUACGUG